rnacentral:rRNA from 1 species
AUUGAACGCUGGCGGCAAGCCUAACACAUGCAAGUCGAACGAGUGGCGGACGGGUGAGUAAUGUCUGGGAAACUGCCUGAUGGAGGGGGCUAACUACUGGAAACGGUAGCUAAUACCGCAUACCAUCGGAUGUGCCCAGAUGGGAUUAGCUAGUAGGUGGGGUAAAGGCUCACCUAGGCGACGAUCCCUAGCUGGUCUGAGAGGAUGACCAGCCACACUGGAACUGAGACACGGUCCAGACGCCUACGGGAGGCAGCAGUGGGGAAUCUGCCACAAUGGGCGAAAGCCUGAUGAAGCAAUGCCGGGUGAAUGAAGAAGGCUUUCGGGUUGUAAAGUACUUUAAGCGGGGAGGCGUUACCUGACGAAGAAGCCCCGGCUAACUCCGGGCCAGCAGCCGCGGUAAUUC